rnacentral:snoRNA from 1 species
UUAACUUGUUUUUGUUUUUUGCUUAACUUGUAAGCAAAGACUUACAGGCAGCUACAAAAAAUAAAUCCUCUUUUGCAACCUAGAACUUACUGUUCAGUAUAUAGAAGGAAUAUG